CAAACCUCAAGCAACUGCUUGGUAUUGAGCUUUCGUCUCUUUUUAAGAGACGUGCUCGAAACUUGUGGGCGGUGCUGUCCAGCAUCUUUGCGUAGUCAUAUAAUUUCGCACUGAUAACGUUGGUUACAGCUACUCGCCAAAUAAAUCUUGAUUUCCUUUUGGGAGUCAUAUUUUUCUCAG
rnacentral:misc_RNA from 1 species